rnacentral:rRNA from 2 species
UGCCUAAUACAUGCAAGUCGAGCGGACAGAUGGGAGCUUGCUCCCUGAAGUCAGCGGCGGACGGGUGAGUAACACGUGGGCAACCUGCCUGUAAGACUGGGAUAACUCCGGGAAACCGGGGCUAAUACCGGAUAAUUCUUUCCCUCACAUGAGGGAAAGCUGAAAGAUGGUUUCGGCUAUCACUUACAGAUGGGCCCGCGGCGCAUUAGCUAGUUGGUGAGGUAACGGCUCACCAAGGCAACGAUGCGUAGCCGACCUGAGAGGGUGAUCGGCCACACUGGGACUGAGACACGGCCCAGACUCCUACGGGAGGCAGCAGUAGGGAAUCUUCCGCAAUGGACGAAAGUCUGACGGAGCAACGCCGCGUGAGUGAUGAAGGUUUUCGGAUCGUAAAACUCUGUUGUUAGGGAAGAACAAGUACCGGAGUAACUGCCGGUACCUUGACGGUACCUAACCAGAAAGCCACGGCUAACUACGUGCCAGCAGCCGCGGUAAUACGUAGGUGGCAAGCGUUGUCCGGAAUUAUUGGGCGUAAAGCGCGCGCAGGCGGUUCCUUAAGUCUGAUGUGAAAGCCCCCGGCUCAACCGGGGAGGGUCAUUGGAAACUGGGGAACUUGAGUGCAGAAGAGAAGAGUGGAAUUCCACGUGUAGCGGUGAAAUGCGUAGAGAUGUGGAGGAACACCAGUGGCGAAGGCGACUCUUUGGUCUGUAACUGACGCUGAGGCGCGAAAGCGUGGGGAGCAAACAGGAUUAGAUACCCUGGUAGUCCACGCCGUA